CUCUACUGCAUAGAGAAUUACUUUGCCUUUGUCUCAGUACCAAACAAAGCAUAAUUGGAUCACAACAUCUCCAAAAGACUUAAAACCAUUUUCUAACUCGCCACGCUUAGAGAAAAAGUGAAAGCUGCAUUUUGAAAUCAAAUUGAGUC